rnacentral:misc_RNA from 1 species
GUUUGUUUUACUUGUUGGUGCAUCAAUGAAUUUCAUUGGCUAUUUCAUGAUAUGGCUAUCUGUUGCUGGCAAAAUUCAAAAACCAAAGGUUUGGCUUAUGUCUAUGUACAUAUGUAUUGGUGCUAAUUCACAAAAUUUCGCAAACACUGGUGCUCUGGUUACAUCUGUUAGAAACUUCCCUCAGAGCAGAGGAAAUAUGAUUGGGUUAUUAAAAGGUUUUACUGGAUUAAGUGGUGCUAUAUUGACACAAUUAUACUUAGCUCUAUAUGGAAAU